UACGUAGGGCGCAAGCGUUAUCCGGAAUUAUUGGGCGUAAAGAGCUCGUAGGCGGUUUGUCGCGUCUGCCGUGAAAGUCCGGGCUCAACUCCGGAUCUGCGGUGGUACGGGCAGACUAGAGUGAUGUAGGGGGAGACUGGAAUUCCUGGUGUAGCGGUGAAAUGCGCAGAUAUCAGGAGGAACACCGAUGGCGAAGGCAGGUCUCUGGGCAUUAACUGACGCUGAGGAGCGAAAGCGUGGGGAGCGAACAG
rnacentral:rRNA from 1 species